rnacentral:miRNA from 13 species
UGCAUCAGGUGUGGCACAGCACA